rnacentral:rRNA from 1 species
GACGAACGCUGGCGGCGUGCUUAACACAUGCAAGUCGAACGGAAAGGCCUCUUUCGGGGGGUACUCGAGUGGCGAACGGGUGAGUAACACGUGAGUAACCUGCCCUUGACUUUGGGAUAACUUCAGGAAACUGGGGCUAAUACCGGAUAGGAGCUCCUGCUGCAUGGUGGGGGUUGGAAAGUUUCGGCGGUUGGGGAUGGACUCGCGGCUUAUCAGCUCGUUGGUGGGGUAGUGGCUUACCAAGGCUUUGACGGGUAGCCGGCCUGAGAGGGUGACCGGCCACAUUGGGACUGAGAUACGGCCCAGACUCCUACGGGAGGCAGCAGUGGGGAAUAUUGCACAAUGGGCGGAAGCCUGAUGCAGCAACGCCGCGUGCGGGAUGACGGCCUUCGGGUUGUAAACCGCUUUCGCCUGUGACGAAGCGUGAGUGACGGUAAUGGGUAAAGAAGCACCGGCUAACUACGUG